GUAGGGAAUCUUCCGCAAUGGGCGAAAGCCUGACGGAGCAACGCCGCGUGAGUGAGAAGGUCUUCGGAUCGUAAAACUCUGUUAUUAGGGAAGAACAUAUGUGUAAGUAACUGUGCACAUCUUGACGGUACCUAAUCAGAAAGCCACGGCUAACUACGUGCCAGCAGCCGCGGUAAUACGUAGGUGGCAAGCGUUAUCCGGAAUUAUUGGGCGUAAAGCGCGCGUAGGCGGUUUUUUAAGUCUGAUGUGAAAGCCCACGGCUCAACCGUGGAGGGUCAUUGGAAACUGGAAAACUUGAGUGCAGAAGAGGAAAGUGGAAUUCCAUGUGUAGCGGUGAAAUGCGCAGAGAUAUGGAGGAACACCAGUGGCGAAGGCGACUUUCUGGUCUGUAACUGACGCUGAUGUGCGAAAGCGUGGGGAUCAAACAGGAUUAGAUACCCUGGUAGUCCACGCCGUAAACGAUGAGUGCUAAGUGUUAGGGGGUUUCCGCCCCUUAGUGCUGCAGCUAACGCAUUAAGCACUCCGCCUGGGGAGUACGACCGCAAGGUUG
rnacentral:rRNA from 1 species